AACGAACGCUGGCGGCAUGCCUAACACAUGCAAGUCGAACGACACCUUCGGUUCUAGUGGCGCACGGGUGCGUACCGCCUGGGAACCUGUCCAUAGGUUCGUAUUCUCUCCCCGAAAGGGGUGCUAAUACCGCAUAAUUUCUACGGCCCACAGACUUAUCACCUUAGGAUGGGCCCGCCUUGGCUUAGCCUGUUGGUAUGGCAAAAGCCUACUAAGGCGACGAGCCAUAGCUGGUCAGAGAGGAGGAGCAGCCACACUGGGACUGAAACACGGCGCGGACUCCUAGGGGAGGCAGGAGUGGCGGAUAUUGGAAAAUGGGGGAAAGGCUGAACCAGCAAGGCCGCGUGAGUGAUGAAGGCCUGAGGGUAGUACAUCGCUUUUAUCCGGGAUGAUAAUGACGGUACCGGAAGAAUAAGCACCGGCUAACUACGUG
rnacentral:rRNA from 1 species